AUAUUGCGCAAUGGGGGCAACCCUGACGCAGCAACGCCGCGUGAAGGAUGAAGGUUUUCGGAUUGUAAACUUCUUUUGUCGAGGACGAAGGACGUGACGGUACUUGACGAAUAAGCCACGGCUAACUACGUGCCAGCAGCCGCGGUAAUACGUAGGUGGCAAGCGUUAUCCGGAUUUACUGGGUGUAAAGGGCGAGUAGGCGGGCAUACAAGUCAGAUGUGAAAUGUGGGGGCUUAACUCCCAAGCUGCAUUUGAAACUGUAGAGCUUGAGUGAAGUAGAGGCAGGCGGAAUUCCCCGUGUAGCGGUGAAAUGCGUAGAGAUGGGGAGGAACACCAGUGGCGAAAGCGGCCUGCUGGGCUUUAACUGACGCUGAGGCACGAAAGCGUGGGUAGCAAACAGGAUUAGAUACCCUGGUAGUCCACGCUGUAAACGAUGAUUACUAGGUGUGGGGGGUCUGACCCUUCCGUGCCGGAGUUAACACAAUAAGUAAUCCACCUGGGGAAGUACGGCCGCAAGGUUGAAACUCAAAGGA
rnacentral:rRNA from 1 species